rnacentral:rRNA from 1 species
UACGGGGGGAGCAAGCGUUGUUCGGAUUUACUGGGCGUAAAGGGCGCGUAGGCGGCAAUUCAAGUCAGUUGUGAAAUCUCCGAGCUUAACUCGGAACGGUCAACUGAUACUGUUUUGCUAGAGUGCAGAAAGGGCAACCGGAAUUCUUGGUGUAGCGGUGAAAUGCGUAGAUAUCAAGAGGAACACCUGAGGCGAAGGCGGGUUGCUAGGCUGACACUGACGCUGAGGCGCGAAAGCUAGGGUAGCAAACGGG